rnacentral:rRNA from 1 species
GAUGAACGCUGGCGGCGUGCCUAAUACAUGCAAGUCGAGCGAACGGACGAGAAGCUUGCUUCUCUGAUGUUAGCGGCGGACGGGUGAGUAACACGUGGAUAACCUACCUAUAAGACUGGGAUAACUUCGGGAAACCGGAGCUAAUACCGGAUAAUAUUUUGAACCGCAUGGUUCAAAAGUGAAAGACGGUCUUGCUGUCACUUAUAGAUGGAUCCGCGCUGCAUUAGCUAGUUGGUAAGGUAACGGCUUACCAAGGCAACGAUGCAUAGCCGACCUGAGAGGGUGAUCGGCCACACUGGAACUGAGACACGGUCCAGACUCCUACGGGAGGCAGCAGUAGGGAAUCUUCCGCAAUGGGCGAAAGCCUGACGGAGCAACGCCGCGUGAGUGAUGAAGGUCUUCGGAUCGUAAAACUCUGUUAUUAGGGAAGAACAUAUGUGUAAGUAACUGUGCACAUCUUGACGGUACCUAAUCAGAAAGCCACGGCUAACUACGUGCCAGCAGCCGCGGUAAUACGUAGGUGGCAAGCGUUAUCCGGAAUUAUUGGGCGUAAAGCGCGCGUAGGCGGUUUUUUAAGUCUGAUGUGAAAGCCCACGGCUCAACCGUGGAGGGUCAUUGGAAACUGGAAAACUUGAGUGCAGAAGAGGAAAGUGGAAUUCCAUGUGUAGCGGUGAAAUGCGCAGAGAUAUGGAGGAACACCAGUGGCGAAGGCGACUUUCUGGUCUGUAACUGACGCUGAUGUGCGAAAGCGUGGGGAUCAAACAGGAUUAGAUACCCUGGUAGUCCACGCCAUAAACGAUGAGUGCUAAGUGUUAGGGGGUUUCCGCCCCUUAGUGCUGCAGCUAACGCAUUAAGCACUCCGCCUGGGGAGUACGACCGCAAGGUUGAAACUCAAAGGAAUUGACGGGGACCCGCACAAGCGGUGGAGCAUGUGGUUUAAUUCGAAGCAACGCGAAGAACCUUACCAAAUCUUGACAUCCUUUGACAACUCUAGAGAUAGAGCCUUCCCCUUCGGGGGACAAAGUGACAGGUGGUGCAUGGUUGUCGUCAGCUCGUGUCGUGAGAUGUUGGGUUAAGUCCCGCAACGAGCGCAACCCUUAAGCUUAGUUGCCAUCAUUAAGUUGGGCACUCUAAGUUGACUGCCGGUGACAAACCGGAGGAAGGUGGGGAUGACGUCAAAUCAUCAUGCCCCUUAUGAUCUGGGCUACACACGUGCUACAAUGGACAAUACAAAGGGCAGCGAAACCGCGAGGUCAAGCAAAUCCCAUAAAGUUGUUCUCAGUUCGGAUUGUAGUCUGCAACUCGACUACAUGAAGCUGGAAUCGCUAGUAAUCGUAGAUCAGCAUGCUACGGUGAAUACGUUCCCGGGUCUUGUACACACCGCCCGUCACACCACGAGAGUUUGUAACACCCGAAGCCAGAGGAGUAACCUUUUAGGAGCUAGCCGUC